UCAUAGUUGUCUUGAGGAUUAGGUGGGU
rnacentral:piRNA from 1 species